AUAAACAUCACUUGCACCACCAUCGUUUAGCAACGCUACCCCCAUGAUACACGGCGCCAAAAGCUGGAGGGUACGAACUAACCUCCCCUAAAGAACUCACGAUUUUUCUUUGGAUGCAGGAAUUCAGGUAACGAAUCAAAGCACAUUCGCUUUUCAGGACCAUAACCCUCAUAGGGUCACUAGUCGCACUCCCCAGCAAUCCUAAUAUCGCAAAACCGUCUACCAGCUAAGAAAACUUACUGCUAUUCGCUCAUUUACAUUCCUGCAUUGCAUAAGGCUACUAUCUGCCUUUCGAGACUAAGCUCUAUCUCCAUCUGCAUUUUUCAAUAAGAAUUCAGGUAACGAAUCAAAGCACAUUCGCUUUUCAGGACCAUAACCCUCAUAGGGUCACUAGUCGCACUCCCCAGCAAUCCUAAUAUCGCAAAACCGUCUACCAGCUAAGAAAACUUACUGCUAUUCGCUCAUUUACAUUCCUGCAUUGCAUAAGGCUACUAUCUGCCUUUCGAGACUAAGCCCUGUCUCCAUCUGCAUUUUGGCAUAAGGCUACUCUCUGCCUUCUGAGGUUAAUCUCUACCUCCAUAUUGCAUAAGGCUACUAUCUACCUUUCGAGACUAAGCUCUGUCUCCAUCUACAUUUUUUUGCAUAAGGAUACUAUCUGCCUUCCGAGGUUAAGCUCUACCUCCAUAUUGCAUAAGGCUACUAUCUGCCGUUCGAGACUAAGCUUUGUCUCCAUUUGCAUUUUGCGUAAGGCUAUUCUCUGCCUUUCGAUGUUAAGCUCUACCUCCAUCCUGCAUAAGGCUACUAUCUUCCUUUUGAGACUAAGCACUGUCUCCAUCUGCAUUUUUGCAUAAGGCUAUUCACUGCCUUUCGAGGUUAAGCUCUACCUCCAUCCUGCAUAAAGCUAUUGUCUGCCUUUCGAGACUAAGCUCUGUCUCUAUCUGUAUCUGCAUAAGGCUACUCUCUGUCUUCCGAGGUUAAGUUCUACCUCAAUAUUGCAUAGGGCUCCUAUCUGCCUUUCGAGACUAAGCACUGUCUCCGCCCGGCACGCCUGAAAUAUCGCUUCCUAUUUUUAAAUUCUUGCCCCGGCUGAAAUAUCGCCAUCUGCUUUUAAAUUCCCGCUCUGGCUGAAAGAUCGCCGCCAUUUGCAUCCACUUGGCUGAAAGAUUGCCACUUUCUCAUGGGCUGAAAGAUCACCAAAUCGUUCAAAGGCGUCAUAGUUCGAAGGCACCAUCUGCAUAGCCCAAGAAUAUCAUUUCAGGGCCUGCGAACCUUUAGUUUUAUGCUUUUCGUGGCCCAGGACAGCAUAGUCUGAGGACAUCAUCCUAACCGUCCAAUGACAAACAUUCAUGGUCCAACGGGAACUUGCAUCACGUUUAAAUUAUGCAAUAUGUGUGCACAUCGCUCAUUUGCAGGUGUUCUGACUAGCUCACAACCGUCUCAGCAGGAGUGACCCCGCUCCAGUUCUCCGCAGUUUGUCUGAUUCUAAGCACUUUCUCAGAUCUAACCAGCGCGUUCGGUUUUUCGAAUUCCCAUCGGCAUGUUCCGUCAAUGACUCCUGAACUACAUAUGGCCUGAUUCCUGUAAAAUCAGGGAUAUGUAGGCAGCUUAGAGACCAGAGCGCGGUCAAUAUCUUUUUACAAUCGCCAUCUCCGGUCAAAAUUGGCCAUCUUACCUUUACCCGACAAGUCUUUCAUCCUCCUCCUCGUGUAAAGAGGGGCAGCUGUUGAUACCCAAUUUUUUCCUAUAUAUUUUUAUACUUACAAUACAUUCAAAAUAGUAUAUAUAAGCAUCCAUAAAGGUUUUGGAUUUUUUUCAUAUUUUUUUUUUAAAAAAAAUUUAAUCAAUUUAUGACUUAUUUUUGCACUAUAAAAUCCAUUAAUUAUUCCCAAAAUUUGUUAUUUUUGUGAAUAAUCUAUUUUAUUCUC
rnacentral:lncRNA from 1 species